rnacentral:rRNA from 1 species
UACGGGGGGGGCAAGCGUUGUUCGGAAUUACUGGGCGUAAAGGGCUCGUAGGCGGCCAACUAAGUCAGACGUGAAAUCCCUCGGCUUAACCGGGGAACUGCGUCUGAUACUGGAUGGCUUGAGUUUGGGAGAGGGAUGCGGAAUUCCAGGUGUAGCGGUGAAAUGCGUAGAUAUCUGGAGGAACACCGGUGGCGAAGGCGGCAUCCUGGACCAAUUCUGACGCUGAGGCUCGAAAGCGUGGGGAGCAAACAGG